GGAAGGCUGAGUCAGGAGCCGCUGCCAGCCGCCGCCAUGACAAGCCACAUGUAAAGAUACCAGAAGGGCCAGAGAAGUAGCCAGAGAAGGAGAAGGACUCCAGGGGCCAGUCACCUAGCUGCACAGCAAGCCACAGAGUAAGAAACAAAGAAAGGAUCAGCAAGACGUACUGUUUGGAAGACUAAAGCAAGGCCUACCCAACACUGUUAAGGACCAUCCCACUCAGAGAGCCUGAGUGUCAGUGCUGCUGAAGGGGCAUGUGGGCUGAAGAUGGUUCAAUCUCCAAGACAAAUUGCUCCCUACAAACAAU